AGGUCGUGCUGGGGAUGCUUGCAAACCCCGGUAACAGUGGCUCACACCUUUGCCAGGGUGCUCGAGCCAUUGUUCGACCGUGGAGAAGUGGCACAUCUUUGUCGCAACAUACCUCUCCUUGGGGCGGCAUCUCGCUUCCGCACUGCCCCUUGUGCACGCUGGUCCCAGUGCUCAGAACGGUCCCAAAGGGACCACCGUCCUUGUUACAGAGCACUUUCACACCAUGUGAAGGGCCUCUUGGUUCUUUUCAACUCAUAUCUCUUCCUGGGUUAAACGUCUCCGUUUCCCUCUGCCGUUCUUUAUCAUAUGUUGUAACUUUUAGAAUUCUUGACAUCUGAGUUGUCUCCCCUCUGAAAAUCCUAUGGCCUAACAACACAUUUCCCAAGAGAUGACACCAGAAGAAGGCUUAGGACACCCUAAGCCGUACGGGGUCCACGGGAUCACAGGGUAGCGUGUUACUGUCACCUGCCUAUGUCUGGAGCCUGUAUCCCAGCUGCCACAGCUAAAAGUAAGGCUGCGAAUUUCUUAUGGACAGGAACUGGCCUCGGUCACAGCAGGCAGAAGAGUAAAUGAAUAAGGUUGUCCGAGUGCUUUUUAACAACAGCAGCCACACUUCACAAAGCACUGCUAAGAAAGCAUUUCCCCUUCCCCUUUGCAGUCAGAUGGCUCCCUGGACUCCAGCAGGUCUCUGUCUCCCCUUUUCAGGUCAAACAGCAUCUUUCCAGCUCCACUGCUGAUGCCACUCUGGCCACCUGAGAUCACCGCAAGUUCUCCUUGUCUUCCAGAACUCCAGCCACACCACCCGGUCCUGUGCCGCACGCAGACCUGAAGAGCGUGUGGUCUACUCUUCCUACAGGGACUAAUAUGUCUGAAGAAAUGCUGUUUGGAUAAUCAUUGUUCCUGUUCAUCACAUGCAUUGAGAACCAUGCUGAGAAUACCACGGAAUACAGCCUGCGUUACAACAGCGUGAGUCUACUGCUCACAGAGCUGUCUCUGACCGUCGCCCCUCUGUCAGACGUGAGUGACUGCACCUCAAUGGACCGGCUGAAAAAUAGGAGGGGCCCCACUGUCAGCACUGAUAGGGGCUGCAAAGCCUCACAGCCGCCGCUCCUGGGGUCCCUUCCUGCUCUGAAAUCUGCAGCAGUUCCAUCUGGCAGAGUUUUCAAAGUUCUUCCCUGUUUCUUCAUCUUCCGGGGGCCGAACUGCCGUUGGGUCUGACGCCUCUCCCAGCCUCCACCUGUUCUCGCCUCACUUUACCUCACAGAUGUGUCCCCUGAUGAACUUCCCUGACACCUGCUUCUCGGAGGACCUGUAUCGACACGUUGUCUAAUUCAGUCUCCCCAAACUUAGGAGCUAUUGAUGACUAUAAGAAAUUGAGCCUCGCGGAUUUUGAAGUAUGCAUUCAGGUCACCCUGCCAGUGAGUGGCAGUCUUCCAACCCACCUCCGUCUCUUGACUCGUCUCAUUGUGCCACACUGUCUAGGACAGCUUACUGUACAUGUAUGUUUCUUCUUUAUGUGCUACUUUGCCAGUUGACAAGUUCUAUGGUAGAAAAAGGAAUAGGUAAAGAUUAGCCUACAGCUCUCUGCCAAAAGGGAAAACAAAAAAACAAAAACAAAAAAAGAUCUGGAAGGCAAGUUGUUAAUAUAAAACGUUCACCCUUUUUCUAGAGGAACUUACAAUUUAAGCUUCCCUGUACGUGUCACUGACAGGGAGCUGUCUGGCUACAUGAAUAUGUUGUUUUUCUUUUUUUUUUCUCCCUACACCCCUUUUUAGGUAAUUCAGAGCUGCAAGUGCUGAAUCUAUUUUUCAGAGAUAACAUGCGAAUUUGUGACAUUCCCUGUGGAGUUUGAGGUCUGGGAACCUAGGAAGAGAUCACAACGAAACACAAGCAUCGCUUCCAAGUGCUAGAGUGAUUAUUGUCUGGAAGUCUUAGCGUUAUUUAAAAGGCAGCUUCUUCUCAUUUGGAUCAGGCAACGGUGUGUUUUCUGAAGGCGAGAAGGCCUUUCUAUAAAAGCCAGUACAGAGUGGGGCUGCAGGCUGCUUGUGUUGCAGCAGAGGCCAGCGGCAAAAGCCACGGUAGCCGCUUCAGGGAAGCACCAGCAAGUGGAACCGAUGCCUAAUGAAUGGAGGGCCCAGUGGGGAAGUGAAGAAAACAAAGGGAGACUUUUUUUUUUCCCCCUCAUUUCCCCCACCCCCACCCACCACUUUUUUAUUCCAGGAAAGAAAAGUAGUUUACUGCGAUUCAUUCCCACACCUGGUGAAGGUUCAAGAGGACAGGGAGCCUGAGGACCUUCACCUGAAUGGCUUCUUGAAAGAUGCUGUGUUCAGAUCUUUGGUGCUAGAAGAACACCGACUCUUCUCCCUCUUUGCUUCGCAGGGCCUCCUUUCAUGUGAUUUAGAAAAUGUAUUCUUCUCAGAGCUAUGCCACCGGUCUUGUGCUCCUGCUACCCAUCCGUUCCCUCUAUUUCUCUGGUCGGGGCCCCAAGCAAGAGCAGGCACCUCGAUCACUGAGUCAUUUCCUCAGAUGAGUCUACCGCAGAAUCUUAGCUCUUGGAUGGAGGCCCCCACUGUUGGUCUUCUGCCUCAACAUUCCUUUUAACUGAAUGGUGUCCCGCUUGCCUCUCCAGUUCGUCUCUCGUGGCUUCUUCACACCAAAACAAAAGUGCUUUCUGUUCUAGAAGCUUCCAUUUUCCCUAUGCCACAUGCCUUUGCCCACGCUGUUUCUUCCCCCAGUAGCGUCCUGUGCCCCUUGCUAACUCCCUUGCUCUCUGCCCAUUUGGUGCGUGUUUAAUUCCAGGAAGACGGCGUUCAAGUGAAACCUCCGCGAAGCCUUCCAUGACAUCUCCAAACUCGAUUAGUUACUUCAUUCUCUGCAUGUGACGGUAAUUUUGUUUAGCGGAAAUUAAUUUUGCUUCUCUGUGAAGAUACAGAUUCACAUUCAGUAGAUUUUCUGAGUGACUACUAAGUGCCUGGCACUGGAAUGAUCACUUUCACAUACUGCACUUUUCGAAUUUCUUUUUGGUGAAGAGACCAGAGAACAUGAGCCUUUUGGAUUGAGAUGCACUAGUAUGGUAUUGUGAAAUUACUCUUGACUCUUCAGAAGAAGGAAUGGGUAUACAUAUGAGGGGCAUUUUUAGUCACUUCUAAUUUGAUAAAAAAAACAACACAACAAAAUCUUUGUUGUUCGAGGUCUCUGACUUCCCCAGAAGUUUUGGGGAAAAUCGUGAACCCCGCUUCCAGUGACCCUCUGCCACACGAGGACACAUAUUAAUGAUCUCUGUAGGUCUCUUUGGAAGGUGCAUUAUGUUAUCACACUUGCCGUGAGCUCUGGGGGCCUCCAGACUCCCUGAGUGGCAGUAGGCAUAGGCCCUGCCCCGUCCCACUCUGCAUGGCCACCUGAGCCAUGAGCAACCCAAUCUCAGUCACUCCUUCUUGUAAGGUUGUAAGUAACAGCCAGCAUAUCUGCAGAAUGCAACAAGUACCACUGUUUAAUGUGUAUAGGAUUUUUGACAUGCUAAUUACAUCCUGCUCCAAGCCGUGAGGCGUAGGUGAUCAGCUCCGUGAAACAAUCAACAGUCGGAAAAAUAGCUUUUAUUUUUCACAGAGAUGACUGUGAAAAAACAUGUUUUGCUGUUGAUAACUCUGCUUUUAGUUGAAAACACAGAGCACAGGCUGGUAAACUAUAGCCUAUGAGUGAGCCCGUUCUGUUGUUUCUUUUCACAUGUAAAGGUUUAUUGGAACACAGCCAGGCCAUGUGCUUACAUAUUGCCCGUGACUGCUUUCACAUUAUAAACACAGAGUUGAGUGGUUGCAGAGAGGUUGGAUAACCCACAGAGACUAAACUACUCACUGCUUCGUCCUUUGCAGAAAAAGUGUGCCGAUCCCUGACACGGCAAUGCAGAGUUCUUCCAGAAACCAUCAAGGCAAACUCUCCAACAGCAAGUCCUUACCAAAAGCCUGAUUGCAAGAAUAUUUUUCUCUCAGAUCUUAGUAUCAAGAAAGUUGGGCUUGCUCUUGAGCCACUGGUGAGUUUGUAAUCUUCUGGGCUCUCUGAGUCCUGGAAUGGACAGUGUCUUUCUUUCAGUUUUGGCUACGAGCACUUCCUGAACCAAAAUUGCCCACCUUCUCUGUAGGUCGUAUCGAUCUCUACUCACUUUCAGCUUGACCUCUCUUAAAUCCUCUUGGCUCUGAUUACCUGUUAAUUUUCACCUGAUAGUCUUUAUGGACAUAAUUGGUGGCAAAAGAUUAGGUCUAAAUAAAUAUGUAAGUAUGUACAUAAA